AGUGAACGCUGGCGGUAGGCCUAACACAUGCAAGUCGAACGGCAGCACAGUAAGAGCUUGCUCUUACGGGUGGCGAGUGGCGGACGGGUGAGGAAUACAUCGGAAUCUACUUUUUCGUGGGGGAUAACGUAGGGAAACUUACGCUAAUACCGCAUACGACCUACGGGUGAAAGCAGGGGAUCUUCGGACCUUGCGCGAUUGAAUGAGCCGAUGUCGGAUUAGCUAGUUGGCGGGGUAAAGGCCCACCAAGGCGACGAUCCGUAGCUGGUCUGAGAGGAUGAUCAGCCACACUGGAACUGAGACACGGUCCAGACUCCUACGGGAGGCAGCAGUGGGGAAUAUUGGACAAAGGGCGCAAGCCUGAUCCAGCCAUACCGCGUGGGUGAAGAAGGCCUUCGGGUUGUAAAGCCCUUUUGUUGGGAAAGAAAAGCAGAAGGUUAAUACCCCGCUGUUCUGACGGUACCAAAAGAAUAAGCACCGGCUAACUUCGUG
rnacentral:rRNA from 1 species